CCAACCUUUUGGAGUUAGUUAGACCAAAAAAAAAUGAAAAAUGAAAAAAAAAUAUUUGGGGUUUUCGGGCUUCCUGAAUGUAAUACCCGGGUAUUAGAUUUUAAGGCUAGGGUAAGGUUUAAGUUUUUUGGCGUUAGGGUUAAAAUCACUGUCCAAAACCUUUGUAGGAACUCUUUUCCAACCUUUUGGAGUUAGUUAGACCAAAAAAAAAAGAAAAAUGAAAAAAAUAUUUGGGGGUUUCAGGCUUCCUAAAAGUAAUACCCAGGUAUUAGGUUUUGUGGCUAGGGUAAGGUUUAAGUUUUUUGGCAUAAGGGUUAAAAUCCCUGUCCAAAACCUUUGUAGGAACUCUUUUCCAACCUUUUGGAGUUAGUUAGACCAAAAAAUAUGAAAAAAGAAAAAAAGUAUUUGUGGGGGUUUUCGGGCUCCCUGAAAGUAAUACCCAGGUAGUAGGUUUUGGGACUAGGGAGAGGUUUAAGGUUUUUGGCAUUAGGGUUAAAAUCACUGUCCAAAACCUUUGUAGGAACUCUUUUCCAACCUUUUGGAGUUAGUUAGACCAAAAAAAAAAUGAAAAAUGAAAAAAAAAAUAUUUGGGGUUUACGGGCUUCCUGAAUGUAAUACCCGGGUAUUAGAUUUUAAGGCCAGGGAAAGGUUUAAGUUUUUUGGCGUUAGGGUUAAAAUCACUGUCCAAAACCUUUGUAGGAACUCUUUUCCAACCUUUUGGAGUUAGUUAGACCAAAAAAAAUGAAAAAUGAAAAAAAAAUAUUUGGGGUGUUCAGGCUUCCUGAAAGUAAUACCCGGGUAUUAGGUUUUGGGGCUAUGGUAAGGUUUAAGGUUUUUGGCAUUAGGGUUAAAAUCACUGUCCAAAACCUUUGUAGGAACUCUUUUCCAACCUUUUGGAGUUAGUUAGACCAAAAAAAAAAAAUGAAAAAUGAAAAAAAAAAUUUGGGGUGUUCAGGCUUCCUAAAAGUAAUACCCGGGUAUUAGGUUAUGGGGCUAUGGUAUAGUUUAAGGUUUUUGGCAUUAGGUUUAAAAUCACUGUCCAAAAUCUUUGUAGGAACUCUUUUCCAACCUUUUGGAGUUGGUUAGACCAAAAAAAAAAGAAAAAAUGAAAAAAAAAUAUUUGGGGUGUUCAGGCUUCCUAAAAGUAAUACCCGGGUAUUAGGUUAUGGGGCUAUGGUAAGGUUUAAGGCUUUUGGCAUUAGGGUUAAAAUCACUGUCCAAAACCUUUGAAGGAACUCUUUUCCAACCUUUUGGAGUUAGUUAGACCAAAAAAAAAAAGAAAAAUAAAAAAAUAUAUAUUUGGGGUUUACGGACUUCCUGAAUGUAAUACCUGGGUAUUAGAUUUUAAGGCUAGGGUAAGGUUUAAGUUUUUUGGCGUUAGGGUUAAAAUCACUGUCCAAAACCUUUGUAGGAACUUUUUUCCAACCUUUUGGAGUUAGUUAGACCAAAAAAAAAAGAAAAAUGAAAAAAAAAAAUUUGGGGUGUUCAGGCUCCCUUAAAGUAAUACCUGGGUACUAGGUUAUGGGGCUAUGGUAAGGUUUAAGGUUUUUGGCGUUUGGGUAAAAAUCACUGUCCAAAACCUUUGUAGGAACUCUUUUCCAACCUUUGUGAGUUAGUUAGACCAAAAAAAAUGAAAAAAGAAAAAAAAAUUAUUGGGGGUUUUCGGGCUCCCUAAAAGUAAUACCCGGGUAUUAGGUUUUGGGACUAGGGAAAGGUUUAAGUUUUUUGGCGUUAGGGUUAAAAUCACUGUCCAAAACCUUUGUAGGAACUCUUUUCCAACCUUUUGGAGUUAGUUAGACAAAAAAAAAAGAAAAAUAAAAAAAAAUAUUUGGGGUGUUUAGGCUUCCUGAAUGUAAUACCCGGGUGGUAGAUUUUAAGGCUAGGGUAAGGUUUAAGUUUUUUGGUGUUAGGGUUAAAAUCACUGUCCAAAACCUUUGUAGGAACUCUUUUCCAACCUUUUGGAGGUAGUUAGACCAAAAAAAAAGAAAAAUGAAAAAAAAAAAUUUGGGGUGUUCAGGCUCCCUUAAAGUAAUACCUGGGUACUAGGUUAUGGGGCUAUGGUAAGGUUUAAGGUUUUUGGCGUUUGGGUAAAAAUCACUGUCCAAAACCUUUGUAGGAACUCUUUUCCAACCUUUGUGAGUUAGUUAGACCAAAAAAAAUGAAAAAAGAAAAAAAAAUUAUUGGGGGUUUUCGGGCUCCCUAAAAGUAAUACCCGGGUAUUAGGUUUUGGGACUAGGGAAAGGUUUAAGUUUUUUGGCGUUAGGGUUAAAAUCACUGUCCAAAACCUUUGUAGGAACUCUUUUCCAACCUUUUGGAGUUAGUUAGACCAAAAAAAUAAGAAAAAUGAAAAAAAAUAUUUGGGGUGUUCAGGCUUCCUAAAAGUAAUACCCGGGUAUUAGGUUAUGGGGCUAUGGUAAGGUUUAACGUUUUGGCGUUAGGUUUAAAAUCACUGUCCAAAACCUUUGUAGGAACUCUUUUCCAACCUUUUGGAGUUAGACCAAAAAAAGAAUGAAAAAUGAAAAAAAAAAUAUUUGGGGUUUUCGGGCUUCCUUAAUGUAAUACCCGGGUAUUAAGUUUUAAGGCCAGGGUAAGGUUUAAGUUUUUUGGCAUUAGGGUUAAAAUCACUGUCUAAAACCUUUGUAGGAACUCUUUUCCAACCUUUUGGAUUUGGUUAGACCAAAAAAAAAGAAAAAUGAAAGAAAAAUAUUUGGGGUGUUCAGACUUCCUAAAAGUAUUAGGUUAUGGGGCUAUGGUAAGGUUUAAGGUUUUUGGCGUUAGGGUUAAAAUCACUGUCCAAAACCUUUGUAGGAACUCUUUUCCAACCUUUUGGAGUUGGUUAGACAAAAAAAAAUGUAAAAUGAAAAAAAAAAAUAUUUGGGGUUUAAGGGCUUCCUGAAGGUAAUACCCGGGUAUUAGGUUUUGGGGCUAGGGUAAGGUUUAAGGUUUUUGGCAUUAGGGUUAAAAUCACUGUCCAAAACCUUGUAGGAACUAUUUUCCAACCUUUUGGAGUUGGUUACACCAAAAAAAAAUUAAAAUGAAAAAAAAAAUAUUUGGGGUGUUCGGGCUUCCUGAAGGUAAUACCCGGGUAUUAGAUUUUAAGGUUAGGGUAAGGUUUAAGGUUUUUGGCGUUAGGGUUAAAAUCACUGUCCAAAACCUUUGUAGGAACUCUUUUCCAACCUUUUGGAGUUAGUUAGACCAAAAAAAAAUGAAAAAAGAAAAAAAAUAUUUGGGGUUUUCGUGCUCCCUGAAAGUAAUACCCGGGUAUUAGGUUUUGGCACUAGGGAAAGGUUUAAGGUUUUUGGCGUUAGGGUUAAAAUCACUGUCCAAAACCUUUGUAGGAACUCUUUUCCAACCUUUUAGAGUUAGACAAAAAAAAAAAAUGUAAAAUGAAAAAAAAAUGUUUGGGGUUUUCGGGCUUCCUGAAGGUAAUACCCGGGUAUUAGGUUAUGGGGCUAUGGUAUGGUUUAAGGUUUUUGGCAUUAGGUCUAAAAUCACUGUCCAAAACCUUUGUAGGAACUCUUUUCCAACCUUUUGGAGUUACUUAGACCAAAAAAAUAUGAAAAAGGAAAAAAAAAUAUUUGGGGUUUUCGGGCUUCCUGUGGUAAUACCCGGGUAUUAGAUUUAAAGGCUAUGGUAAGGUUUAAGGUUUUGGCGUUAGGGUUAAAAUCACUGUCCAAAACCUUUGUAGGAACUCUUUUCCAACCUUUUGGAGUUAGUUAGACCAAAAAAAAAUGAAAAAGAAAAAAAAAUAUUUGGGGGUUUUCGGGCUUCCUGAAAGUAAUACCCGGGUAUUAGGUUUUGGGACUAGGGUAAGGUUUAAGGUUUUUGGCGUUAGGGUUAAAAUCACUGUCCAAAACCUUUGUAGGAACUCUUUUCCAACCUUUUGGAGUUAGUUAGACCAAAAAAAAAUGAAAAAUGAAAAAAAAAUAUUUGGGGUGUUCAGGCUUCCUAAAAGUAAUACCCGGGUAUUAGGUUUUGGGGCUAUGGUAAGGUUUAAGGUUUUUGGCGUUAGGGUUAAAAUCACUGUCCAAAACCUUUGUAGGAACUCUUUUCCAACCUUUUGGAGUUAGUUAGACCAAAAAAUAUGAAAAAGGAAAAAAAAAUAUUUGGGGUGUUCGGGCUUCCUGAAGGUAAUACCCAGGUAUUAGGUUAUGGGGCUAUGGUAAGGUUUAAGGUUUUUGGCAUUAGGUUUAAAAUCACUGUCCAAAACCUUUGUAGGAACUCUUUCCCAACCUUUUGGAGUUAGUUAGACCAAAAAAAAAAAAAGAAAAAUGAAAAAAAAAAUAUUUGGGGUGUUCAGGCUUCCUAAAAGUAAUACCCGGGUAUUAGGUUAUGGGGCUAUGGUAAGGUUUAAAGUUUUUGGCAUUAGGGUUAAAAUCACUGUCCAAAACCUUUGUAGGAACUCUUUCCAAACCUUUUGGAGUUAGUUAGACCAAAAAAAAAAAAGAAAAAUGAAAAAAAAAUAUUUGGGGUGUUCAGGCUUCCUAAAAGUAAUACCCGGGUAUUAGGUUAUGGGGCUAUGGUAAGGUUUAAGGUUUUUGGCAUUAGGUUUAAAAUCACUGUCCAAAACCUUUGUAGGAACUCUUUUCCAACCUUUUGGAGUUAGUUAGACCAAAAAAAAAAGAAAAAUGAAAAAAAAAUAUUUGGGGUGUUCAGGCUUCCUAAAAGUAAUACCCGGGUAUUAGGUUAUGGGGCUAUGGUAAGGUUUAAGGCUUUUGGCAUUAGGGUUAAAAUCACUGUCCAAAACCUUUGUAGGAACUCUUUUCCAACCUUUUGGAGUUAGUUAGACCAAAAAAAAAUGAAAAAUAAAAAAAUAUAUAUUUAGGGUUUACGGGCUUCCUGAAUGUAAUACCUGGGUAUUAGAUUUUAAGGCUAGGGUAAGGUUUAAGUUUUUUGGCGUUAGGGUUAAAAUCACUGUCCAAAACCUUUGUAGGAACUCUUUUCCAACCUUUUGGAGUUAGUUAGACCAAAAAAAAAAAUGAAAAAUGAAAAAAAAAUAUUUGGGGUGUUUAGGCUUCCUGAAUGUAAUACCCGGGUAUUAGAUUUUAAGGCUAGGGUAAGGUUUAAGUUUUUUGGCGUUAGGGUUAAAAUCACUGUCCAAAACCUUUGUAGGAACUCUUUUCCAACCUUUUGGAGUUAGUUAGACCAAAAAAAAAAAAAAAAAAAAAAAAAAAAUUUGGGGUGUUCAGGCUCCCUUAAAGUAAUACCUGGGUACUAGGUUAUGGGGCUAUGGUAAGGUUUAAGGUUUUUGGCGUUUGGGUAAAAAUCACUGUCCAAAACCUUUGUAGGAACUCUUUUCCAACCUUUGUGAGUUAGUUAGACCAAAAAAAAUGAAAAAAGAAAAAAAAAUAUUUGGGGUUUUCGGGCUUCCUAAAAGUAAUACCCGGGUAUUAGGUUUUGGGCUAGGGUAAGGUUUAAGGUUUUUGGCGUUAGGGUUAAAGUCACUGUCCAAAACCUUUGUAGGAACUCUUUUCCAACCUUUUGGAGUUAGACCAAAAAAAUAAGAAAAAUGAAAAAAAAAUAUUUGGGGUGUUCAGGUUUCCUAAAAGUAAUACCCGGGUAUUAGGUUAUGGGGCUAUGGUAAGGUUUAACGUUUUGGCGUUAGGUUUAAAAUCACUGUCCAAAACCUUUGUAGGAACUCUUUUCCAACCUUUUGGAGUUAGACCAAAAAAAGAAUGAAAAAUGAAAAAAAAAAUAUUUGGGGUUUUCGGGCUUCCUUAAUGUAAUACCCGGGUAUUAAGUUUUAAGGCCAGGGUAAGGUUUAAGUUUUUUGGCGUUAGGGUUAAAAUCACUGUCCAAAACCUUUGUAGGAACUCUUUUCCAACCUUUUGGAUUUGGUUAGACCAAAAAAAAGAAAAAUGAAAAAAAAAUAUUUGGGGUGUUCAGGCUUCCUAAAGUAAUACCCGGGUAUUAGGUUAUGGGGCUAUGGUAAGGUUUAAGGUUUUUGGCGUUAGGGUUAAAAUCACUGUCCAAAACCUUUGUAGGAACUCUUUUCCAACCUUUUGGAGUUGGUUAGACAAAAAAAAAAUGUAAAAUGAAAAAAAAAAUAUUUGGGGUUUAAGGGCUUCCUGAAGGUAAUACCCGGGUAUUAGGUUUUGGGGCUAGGGUAAGGUUUAAGGUUUUUGGCAUUAGGGUUAAAAUCACUGUCCAAAACCUUUGUAGGAACUCUUUUCCAACCUUUUAGAGUUAGACCAAAAAAAAAAAUGUAAAAUGAAAAAAAAAUGUUUGGGGUUUUCGGGCUUCCUGAAGGUAAUACCCGGGUAUUAGGUUAUGGGGCUAUGGUAUGGUUUAAGGUAUUUGGCAUUAGGUCUAAAAUCACUGUCCAAAACCUUUGUAGGAACUCUUUCCCAACCUUUUGGAGUUUGUUAGACCAAAAAAAAAUGUCAAAUGAAAAAAAAAUGUUUGGGGUUUUCGGGCUUCCUGAAGGUAAUACCCGGGUAUUAGGUUAUGGGGCUAUGGUAAGGUUUAAGGUUUUUGGCGUUAGGGUUAAAAUCACUGUCCAAAACCUUUGUAGGAACUCUUUUCCAACCUUUUGGAGUUACUUAGACCAAAAAAAUAUGAAAAAGGAAAAAAAAAUAUUUGGGGUUUUCGGGCUUCCUGUGGUAAUACCCGGGUAUUAGAUUUAAAGGCUAUGGUAAGGUUUAAGCUUAAUGGCGUUAGGGUUAAAAUCACUGUCCAAAACCUUUGUAUGAACUCUUUUCCAACCUUUUGGAGUUAGACAAAAAAAAAAAUGAAAAAUGAAAAAAAAAUAUUUGGGGUGUUCAGGCUUCCUAAAAGUAAUACCCGGGUAUUAGGUUAUGGGGCUAUGGUAAGGUUUAAGGUUUUUGGCGUUAGGGUUAAAAUCACUGUCCAAAACCUUUGUAGGAACUCUUUCCCAACCUUUUGGAGUUUGUUAGACCAAAAAAAAUGUAAAAUGAAAAAAAAAUGUUUGGGGUUUUCGGGCUUCCUGAAGGUAAUACCCGGGUAUUAGGUUAUGGGGCUAUGGUAAGGUUUAAGGUUUUUGGCAUUAGGUUUAAAAUCACUGUCCAAAACCUUUGUAGGAACUCUUUUCCAACCUUUUGGAGUUAGUUAGACCAAAAAAAUAUGAAAAAGGAAAAAAAAAUAUUUGGGGUUUUCGGGCUUCCUGUGGUAAUACCCGGGUAUUAGAUUUAAAGGCUAUGGUAAGGUUUAAGCUUAAUGGCGUUAGGGUUAAAAUCACUGUCCAAAACCUUUGUAGGAACUCUUUUCCAACCUUUUGGAGUUACUUAGACCAAAAAAAAAAAUGAAAAAAGAAAAAAAAAUUAUUGGGGGUUUUCGGGCUCCCUGAAAGUAAUACCCGGGUAUUAGGUUUUGGGACUAGGGAAAAGUUUAAGGUUUUUGGCGUUAGGGUUAAAAUCACUGUCCAAAACCUUUGUAGGAACUCUUUUCCAA
rnacentral:lncRNA from 1 species